rnacentral:rRNA from 1 species
UACGAAGGGGGGCUAGCGUUGCUCGGAAUUACUGGGCGUAAAGGGCGCGUAGGCGGACAGCUUAGUCAGAGGUGAAAGCCCAGGGCUCAACCUUGGAAUUGCCUUUGAUACUGGCUGUCUUGAGUUCGGGAGAGGUGAGUGGAAUGCCGAGUGUAGAGGUGAAAUUCGUAGAUAUUCGGCGGAACACCAGUGGCGAAGGCGACUCACUGGCCCGAUACUGACGCUGAGGCGCGAAAGCGUGGGGAGCAAACAGG